UUGCAUGAGUUUUGUGGGUUUAGCAUGUUUUGCAGGUAAGGUCGUAAACAUGCAUGGACAUCAUAUUAAAUCCUUAGUUUUUACAACCCACUACUAGCAGUGAUUUGAUCAGCAUCAGCCCAGGAAAAGAUGCUACAGUACUACAGUUCAUCACCCAGCAUGCACCGUCCGAUGUCCACGCGUUGAUUUGAUCCAACCGUCCACGCCUCACAUGCACAUCGCUGCGCCCGGCAUAGCUUCCCCAAUCCCCUCGAUCCUCGACAUCCUCUGCGCCUCCCUUCCCAAAAUACUCAAAUCUUCAUCUUCCCCUCGCGAGUCGCGAAGCCCGCCGCCGCCACCUUCUUGCGGAGCUAGCGGCCGGGGUCGUCGCCUUCUUGCGAGCCACCUGCAAGCGCCGCCACCGUUCCGCUUGAUUCGCUUGCUCGACCGGCCAAUUUCUCAAGGUGGACGAAGGGUGCACGCCCGCUGCCAUAGUUGCCUUCGUCCACCUCUUUGCACGGUGUUGACAACAUGUGCAGUCUGGUAAGCCAAGCCCUAGCCUGAUCUGCUUCUUAUCUUCAGCAACCUUGCUUUUAUCCUUUGCAGUGAUCAAUUUGGAUGACUUAUUUUGUGAUGAAUCUAUCUGUAGUUAGGGUAUGGGUAUGGAGUAGAGCAGAGCAAGCCAAGCCCUAACUCAAUCUGCUUCUCCAUCUUCAGCAUCCUUGCUUCUAUCCUUUGCAGCGUCAAUUUGGAUGACAUAUCUUGUGAGUCAGUUAGGGUUUGGGUACAAGCUAUGGAGUGGAGCAAGUGUUCUUCUAGCCAUUGUGCUGCCGUCACCUUCCUUGGGACAGUGAGGCAUGGGCGCAUGGCAGAGACCACAAUAUGAGGCAAACAUUGGACCUUAGCUAACACGAUAACUGAAUAUUGUGAUGGCAUUUUAGUGGUUUGUUGCGUAUUUUAUAUAGCUCAUGGGUUUAUGGCUUCCUACAGGCUUCCACUGAUGCUUUUGUGACCGCCAGUCCGGGUUGCCUCAUAUGCCCGCGCAAUGCGCAGGGGGCACAACUGUGAUGUGCUGUGGACAUAGUUUUGUUUGACUAUCCUUCCAAAUUAAUCAUCGCCCACUGAUUGGUCUUCCUGGGAACUGCUACUCUGCUAGGUAUUGAAAUACUAAUGUUGUUUAUUUUAUUUUUGUUGAUGUAAUUGUAUUAUGCACCGAGAUACCCGUUGUUCGUGUAACAUUGAUUAUAUAAAAAAUAUUAUGGUCC